rnacentral:rRNA from 1 species
GUGGGGAAUAUUGGGCAAUGGGCGAAAGCCUGACCCAGCAACGCCGCGUGAAGGAAGAAGGUCUUCGGAUCGUAAACUUCUAUCCUUGGUGAAGAUAAUGACGGUAGCCGAGAAGGAAGCCCCGGCUAACUACGUGCCAGCAGCCGCGGUAAUACGUAGGGGGCAAGCGUUGUCCGGAAUGAUUGGGCGUAAAGGGCGCGUAGGCGGCCUGGUAAGUCUGGAGUGAAAGUCCUGCUUUUAAGGUGGGAAUUGCUUUGGAUACUGUCGGGCUUGAGUGCAGGAGAGGUAAGUGGAAUUCCCGGUGUAGCGGUGAAAUGCGUAGAGAUCGGGAGGAACACCAGUGGCGAAGGCGACUUACUGGGCAGCAACUGACGCUGAGGCGCGAAAGCCAGGGGAGCAAACGGGAUUAGAAACCCCGGUAGUCC